GCAGCCUCACACUGACAGGGAUGGUUACACCUUCUGCCACAUCACUCCUUUAUAUGAGGCAGCCUGGAGCUAGAAGACUUUGGAAGACCUGGUGUCGUAUCUGAACUUCUCCAUGAUAUCAGGUGCUGAUAACCUGUUCACCUCCUUUGAUAUACCUUGUUCUGGAGAUCAGCAGCAAGGUGGUGGAGUGCUAAGUAACAGAAAAAGAACUUCUCCAAGUGCUGCCAUCCAAAGGCUGGAAUAUAAUGAGGUGGAGAAGUUAAGAAGGCAGGAAAGCCCCUAUAGAUCCAAGAAGGACCUGCAGUACGAAUUGAAGCACACAAAGACAGUGAAGAGAGAAACUUUUGCGAAUGCGAAAGAGUUACUCAGUGGCGUCUUCUCCCAGGUAUGGGAUGUGCUGUGUGAAGGGAGCAGUCCAAACCUGCAGACACAUGUUGAGUGCUGGCCACUACAGAGGCCUCCAAGGAGAGAUGCAGCUGUGGAGAGGAACACUGGAAGAGAAAUACUGCACUGGCUGCCAUGGAGUACUCUAAAACCUGUGGGUGAGUGAGGAAGGCUCAGCUGCCUCAUGGGAGAGACUGAUUGGUGGAGAACCAUCUUGAAGAAAGACCAAUUAAACUCAGAACUCAGAGCAGCUGCUAGCUCCAUCUAGUGGUUCCUAAUUGGGUUGAGGCCCACAGAACAUGCGCUUAUGGAUACAAGGCGCCAGAGGGUGCAAGUUGGCGGGCUUUUUGGGAUAAAUCAAUAGGGACACUGUCUACAUAGAUUGUUUACCAGUAACAACAGAGACAAACCUGAAAGUGGAC
rnacentral:lncRNA from 1 species